ensembl:rRNA 5S_rRNA 5S ribosomal RNA
UUUGAUACCACCCUGAACGCGCCCAAUCUCAUCUGAUCUCGGAAGCUAAGCAGGGUCAGUCCUGGUUAGUACUAGGAUGGGUGACCUACUCUAAUUCUUAUGAUUUCUUCAGUU